UAAGAUGGUUGUAACAGAGGAACAUGCGGCGAAGAAAGCCGAAGCNAUUUCCCCGGCCGCGUAACCAGGUAUAACUUUGAUCAAGAUAUAAUCGUUCUCCAUAAUAGUGAUGGCAGACCAAACUUUCCGUUAGGUGAACYUGCGGAAGGAUCAUUA
rnacentral:rRNA from 1 species